rnacentral:rRNA from 1 species
UACGGGGGGGAGCAAGCGUUGUUCGGAUUUACUGGGCGUAAAGGGCGCGUAGGCGGUCAGCACAAGUCAGUUGUGAAAUCUCCGGGCUUAACUCGGAAAGGUCAACUGAUACUGUGCGACUAGAGUGCAGAAGGGGCAACUGGAAUUCUCGGUGUAGCGGUGAAAUGCGUAGAUAUCGAGAGGAACACCUGCGGCGAAGGCGGGUUGCUGGGCUGACACGUGACGCUGGAUGCGCGAAAGCCAGGGAGCGAAGCGGG